GACAGAGGGUGCAAACGUUGUUCGGAAUUACUGGGCGUAAAGCGCGUGUAGGCUGCUCUGCAAGUCGGAUGUGAAAAGCCCUGGGCUCAACCUAGGAAGUGCACUCGAAACUGCAGAGCUUGAGUCCUGGAGAGGAAGGCGGAAUUCUCGGUGUAGAGGUGAAAUUCGUAGAUAUCGAGAGGAACACCGGUGGCGAAGGCGGCCUUCUGGACAGUGACUGACGCUGAGACGCGAAAGCGUGGGGAGCAAACAGG
rnacentral:rRNA from 1 species